rnacentral:rRNA from 1 species
CGAAAGCCUGAUGCAGCGACGCCGCGUGAGGGAUGAAGGCCUUCGGGUUGUAAACCUCUUUCAGUAGGGAAGAAGCGAAAGUGACGGUACCUACAGAAGAAGCACCGGCUAACUACGUGCCAGCAGCCGCGGUAAUACGUAGGGUGCGAGCGUUGUCCGGAAUUAUUGGGCGUAAAGAGCUUGUAGGCGGUUUGUCGCGUCUGCCGUGAAAAUCCGGGGCUCAACUCCGGACUUGCGGUGGGUACGGGCAGACUAGAGUGUGGUAGGGGAGACUGGAAUUCCUGGUGUAGCGGUGAAAUGCGCAGAUAUCAGGAGGAACACCGAUGGCGAAGGCAGGUCUCUGGGCCACUACUGACGCUGAGAAGCGAAAGCGUGGGGAGCGAACAGGAUUAGAUACCCUGGUAGUCCACGCCGUAAACGUUGGGAACUAGGUGUGGGUCUCAUUCCACGAGAUCCGUGCCGCAGCUAACGCAUUAAGUUCCCCGCCUGGGGAGUACGGCCGCAAGGCUA